UGUCUUCUAUUGCUUGCUUUCUCUUCCUCGUCCCUCCUUUAACACCCCCAUUUCUGACCUUGCUCCCUCCCUCAUCCCCCCCUUCUUCCUAAUUCUCCUUCUCACUCGCUCUCCUCUCCUCUUCCUCAUCCCCUCAUCGUACCCAUUUUAUAAUUGUUGAUUAGAGCAAAAUGCUGCCAAAUGCUCUCAGAUGGGUCCUCUGUAUGUUUUAGUUUCAUUUGAUGCAACUAGAAUGUAUAUGCUUAAAGAAACAUGGUUUAUAUUAAUACUCUGACACAAGCAAGCAUUGCGUUGUUUUUUUUUUUAUAAGUCUUGAUGUACUUCUGAAUACAUUUUCAUGAGGCAAAGUAUUUUCAUGUAGACAGAAUUUACAGUACAUAACGGCAGCUAUAUGUAGUUCUUAAGUGAAGUUAAUUUCAUUCCCCCCUCCGUCCCAUAGAAACUAAUGCCACUCUUCAUGUAGCUGCAUCCUAGUAUGACUCUAAAUACCUGGACAUAUCUCAAGUGCCUCUCAUCGCUCUUCCUCCUUCUAGUCCCAUUCCUACUUUCUUCUCUCCACCUCCCUCAGUUCUCCCCCUCGCCCACCUAUCUCAACCCUCUCUCUCCUUCUCUGUUCCACCCAUCCAUUUACGCCUUCAUCUUCCCUUUUUAGUGUGCUAUGUGUUGAUAUGUAUCGUGUGCCCUCCAGGACUCCCUCUUCAUAUAUGUUGUAUGUCCCUGUGUAUACAGUACGUACAUCCCUCACAGUACUGUCAGACAGCAGUAGUAUUCCUCAUAAUCAUCAGUCAGGGCCUAGGGGGAAAAGUCCAAACCAUCACAUAAUAAGAUCAUCUUCUCAAACGUUUGGAGCCGGUCCGGGUUGGAGAAGCUAGUUUUUGUUGACCCCCCCCGCCCCGUGCGAGUGCACCCCUGAUGAUCCAGUGAGGUCCCCUAAUCCAGGAGGAAACUAAAUGACCAAGAUGGCCUGGACUACAAUAAAGAAUCUACGCUGUUUUAAUUUUGGAGGGAGGGAGAUCUGUUAUUUUGGCCCACAAUAUGUUUAUUAUGUUUCUGGACCAAUCAGACGGCCCCAAAUGUGUUCCUAUUCGGUGAAGGAGGUACUCAGAUGCAGACUCAUUGCAGAGAAGAAACUAACGUCCGUGGGCAUAUGGUGUAGUGUUUGACCUGAACAAGGAGUGUGGGUAGCCAGGCAAGAAAUACACUGGACCCUUGCAGUUUUCAGAAACAGUAGCACAUUAUUGACCUUACCAGGACACCAUAAUAGGAGUUUAUCCAAAAAUAGCAGAGUUGUGAUUAAAUUCCCUUCACAUUAACAAAUUUUUACAGCCUGAUUUUUAAAUUAGCAACAACAAAAAAAUCCUGUUUUUGCUUUGUCAUUAUGGGGUAUUGUGUGUAGGUAGGUUGAUGAGAAAAAAAUAACAAAAUAAUCCAUUUUAGAAUAAGGCUGUAACCUACCAAAUUGUGGAACAAGUCUAGGGGUCUGAAUACAUUCUGAAGGCACAAUAUACAUAUUGAUAUCAAAAUCAAUAGUGAUGGUUGAGAAAUUAGUCCCAUAAAAUUCCAGCGCAGUGAAUAUUUCAUGUCAAACCUUGCUUGUUGAAGAUACAGUCACACCUCACGGUCUGAAAUGUUGCAUAAGAACCACAACAAUAUGAAUACAUCUCAUUUGAGUUUAAUUCCUUCUCAAAGCUUCCCUUCCUGUUCCAGCAAAUCUAUAGCAGAAUUAUUACCUGUAGCACGGUAGAGGCAGAUCUUUAACUGCUUCUGGUGAUCAUUCAUUCUUUACCAUUAGAAAAAUAAGA
rnacentral:lncRNA from 13 species